rnacentral:lncRNA from 1 species
AUGUCCAAACAGAAGGCUUGUGGUAAGACGCUGAUCAUCGCAGACGAUGAGGAGGCAGAAGCAGACGAGGCAGACCUGAACCCGUUUUCAUACCGAGAGUUCCUCCGCUGGAAGAACCUGGAGCCCACAGACAGACAGGAGGAAGAGGAGGAGGAUGAAGGCUGGGAGCGGAGCUGCCAGUCAGCCACAGCAGACAGCACCUCCUCCCUCUGCACCGAGGAGGAGGAGGAGGAGACGAGGUUCUCCUCGCAGCCUGAGGCCCGGCAGGGAGGAGGAGGAGGAGGAGGAGGAGGAGGAGCAGGAGGGGAGGGGGAGAACUACGAGGGCGAUGAUGAGACGUCCAUGGCCGAGCCGCUCGCCUCCUGCAGGAAGAGGAGCAGCAGGAGCAGCCAGCUGCAGCAGCUGAAGGAGGAGAACGUGGUUUUGAGGAGAACCAUCAGGGAGCUGCAGAAGAAAUUAGACACUAACGAGCAAAGGGUGGGGCAGCUGUCAGAGGAGCUGGUGCAGAGGAGGCGUCAGGAGGAGAAGGAGGCGCAGGACCUGGAGAGCAUGGUGCACUCUGUGGAGCAGAACCUGCACCUGAUGACCGUACGCUGCCUUCACUGCCCGCUGCCUUCACUGCCCGCUGCCUUCACUGCCCGCUGCCUUCACUGCCCGCGUUGCCUUCACUGCCCGCUGCCUUC